rnacentral:rRNA from 1 species
UUAGAACGGUGAUCUCCAGCUUGCUGGGGUGAUCAGUGGCGAACGGGUGAGUAACACGUGAGCAACCUGCCCAUGGCUCUGGGAUAACCUGGGGAAACCGAGGCUAAUACCGGAUAUGACGCGUACAGGCAUCUGUUGCGUGUGGAAAGUUUUUCGGCCAUGGAUGGGCUCGCGGCCUAUCAGCUUGUUGGUGGGGUAAUGGCCUACCAAGGCGACGACGGGUAGCCGGCCUGAGAGGGCGAUCGGCCACACUGGGACUGAGACACGGCCCAGACUCCUACGGGAGGCAGCAGUGGGGAAUAUUGCGCAAUGGGCGGAAGCCUGACGCAGCGACGCCGCGUGGGGGAUGAAGGCCUUCGGGUUGUAAACCUCUUUCAGCUCUGACGAAGCGCAAGUGACGGUAGGAGCAGAAGAAGCACCGGCUAACUACGUGCCAGCAGCCGCGGUAAUACGUAGGGUGCAAGCGUUGUCCGGAAUUAUUGGGCGUAAAGAGCUCGUA